rnacentral:rRNA from 1 species
AGCGAACGCUGGCGGCAGGCCUAACACAUGCAAGUCGAACGAACCCUUCGGGGUUAGUGGCGGACGGGUGAGUAACACGUGGGAACGUGCCUUUAGGUUCGGAAUAACUCAGGGAAACUUGUGCUAAUACCGAAUGUGCCCUUCGGGGGAAAGAUUUAUCGCCUUUAGAGCGGCCCGCGUCUGAUUAGCUAGUUGGUGAGGUAAAGGCUCACCAAGGCUACGAUCAGUAGCUGGUCUGAGAGGAUGACCAGCCACAUUGGGACUGAGACACGGCCCAAACUCCUACGGGAGGCAGCAGUGGGGAAUCUUGCGCAAUGGGCGAAAGCCUGACGCAGCCAUGCCGCGUGGAUGAUGAAGGUCUUAGGAUUGUAAAAUCCCUUCACCGGUGAAGAUAAUGACUGUAGCCGGAGAAGAAGCCCCGGCUAACUUCGUGCCAGCCGCCGCAGUAAUAC